CGCGGGGUAGAGCAGUUGGUAGCUCGUCGGGCUCAUAACCCGAAGGUCACAGGUUCAAGUCCUGUCCCCGCAACCA
rnacentral:tRNA from 1 species